CCUACGGGUGGCAGCAGUGAGGAAUAUUGGUCAAUGGACGAGAGUCUGAACCAGCCAAGUAGCGUGAAGGAUGACUGCCCUAUGGGUUGUAAACUUCUUUUAUAUGGGAAUAAAACGUUCCACGUGUGGGAUUUUGUAUGUACCAUAUGAAUAAGGAUUGGCUAACUCCGUGCCAGCAGCCGCGGUAAUACGGAGGAUCCGAGCGUUAUCCGGAUUUAUUGGGUUUAAAGGGAGCGUAGGUGGAUUGUUAAGUCAGUUGUGAAAGUUUGCGGCUCAACCGUAAAAUUGCAGUUGAAACUGGCAGUCUUGAGUACAGUAGAGGUGGGCGGAAUUCGUGGUGUAGCGGUGAAAUGCUUAGAUAUCACGCAGAACUCCGAUUGCGAAGGCAGUUCACUGGACUGCAACUGACACUGAGGCUCGAAAGUGUGGGUAUCAAACAGGAUUAGAUACCCUAGUAGUC
rnacentral:rRNA from 1 species